rnacentral:rRNA from 1 species
CCUACGGGCGGCAGCAGUGGGGAAUAUUGGACAAUGGGCGAAAGCCUGAUCCAGCCAUGCCGCGUGUGUGAGGAAGGCCUUCGGGUUGUAAAGCACUUUCAGUGGGGAAGAAAGCCUUGGGGCUAAUACCCUCGAGGAAGGACAUCACCCACAGAAGAAGCACCGGCUAACUCCGUGCCAGCAGCCGCGGUAAUACGGAGGGUGCGAGCGUUAAUCGGAAUUACUGGGCGUAAAGCGCGCGUAGGCGGUCUGAUAAGCCGGUUGUGAAAGCCCCGGGCUCAACCUGGGAACGGCAUCCGGAACUGUCAGGCUAGAGUGCAGGAGAGGAAGGUAGAAUUCCCGGUGUAGCGGUGAAAUGCGUAGAGAUCGGGAGGAAUACCAGUGGCGAAGGCGGCCUUCUGGACUGACACUGACGCUGAGGUGCGAAAGCGUGGGUAGCAAACAGGAUUAGAUACCCUAGUAGUC